AUGAACGAUAUACUAUGUGCUCCGUUCUUGGAGGAGGAGGUGUCCGAUGCUUUAUUUCAGAUCGGUCCCCUCAAAGCGCCAGGGACGGAUGGUCUCCUGGCGAGAUUUUUUCAACGAGAUUGGGCAGUGUUGAAAGCUGAAAUUACAGCUGCUGUGCUGAAGUUCUUUAGGUCAGGUGCUAUGCUAGACAGUGUCAAUGAUACGACUAUUGUUCUUAUUCUGAAAAUCCCUUUCCCCAAGGAACUUAAGGACUUUAGACCGAUAAGCCUAUGCAAUGUCAUUUAUAAGAUCGUUUCAAAAUGUUUGGUGAAUAGGCUAAGGCCAAUGCUGGCGGAGUUAAUAUUGGGGAAUCAGAGUGCUUUUGUCCCCGAAAGACUUAUUUCGGAUAACUCUAUAAUUGUGUUUGAAUGCAUUCAUCAUAUACAGUCGCUGAAACAAAACAGGCCAGCGGCGUAUGCUUACAAGCUUUAUCUGUCAAAGGCAUAUGAUCGUGUCGAUUGGGAUUUUUUGGAAAAUGCACUUCGCAAAUGGGGAUUCGCUGAACAGUGGAUAUCGUGGAUUAUGGUGUGUGUCAGAUCAGUAAAAUACUCUGUCAAAUUCAAUGGACAAUUGCUGGAGAGUUUCUUUCCUUCAAGGGACUAA
rnacentral:rRNA from 1 species